GGUCCGGUGGCCAAAUGGCAAGGCGCUUGACUACGAUUCCUUAAAAGUGAUGAAAUCAAGAGAUUGCAGGUUCGAUCCCUGCCCGGAUCG